AGAGUUUGAUCAUGGCUCAGAUUGAACGCUGGCGGCGUGCCUAACACAUGCAAGUCGAGCGGUAACAGGCGUAGCAAUACGUGCUGACGAGCGGCGGACGGGUGAGUAAUGCUUGGGAAUCUUCCCGGUAGUGGGGAAUAACCAACCGAAAGGUUGGCUAAUACCGCAUACGUUCUACGGAAGAAAGCGGGGGACCGUAAGGCCUCGCGCUAUCGGAUGAGCCCAAGUCGGAUUAGCUAGUUGGCGGGGUAACGGCCCACCAAGGCGACGAUCCGUAGCUGGUCUGAGAGGACGACCAGCCACACUGGGACUGAGACACGGCCCAGACUCCUACGGGAGGCAGCAGUGGGGAAUAUUGGACAAUGGGGGAAACCCUGAUCCAGCGACGCCGCGUGUGUGAAGAAGGCCUGCGGGUUGUAAAGCACUUUUAGUGGGGAUGAAAAGCACCGGGCUAAUACCCAGGUGUCUUGACCUAACCCAAAGAAAAAGCACCGGCUAACUCUGUGCCAGCAGCGGCGGUAAUAC
rnacentral:rRNA from 1 species